rnacentral:lncRNA from 1 species
UAUAGUUCAUCUGCAAAACAGUGACUACGAUCUUGUUUCUGUAUACAGGUUUGCGAUAUUGUAGAUGGAUUAUUCAUAGAAUUGUUUAGAUUGUUUACUGAAAAUAACAAGAAAUAAGUUGAGGCAAUUAACAAGGCAGUAUCCAUUUGAACCACGAAGGUAAAAUAUUUCUUGCUUGGUUAUUCCAGUUAUGAUACAACAUCUGAGUUUCCUAGCUCAAGAUGUCGAUUCACAUUUGAACCACGAGUUGUGUGCUGGUUUCUUUCCACCCCUUGACAGGGAGAUCCAGGAAGGAGGUGAGUACGACGACGGCGGCAGAGGAGGAAGAAGGAAUCGACCAGGGAAGUCUAAGAAUAAAAUGUUAGUGGUGCCACCAUUCUCUUGCUUGCCUCGCUGCUUGUACAUCCAGACAACGAGACAUCACAGUCCCUCACGCUCUCGGACCUCUUCGACGUCAGGGGUGGCACUGCCGUGCUCAAGCUCAAGGCGAAGGUUUCUCCGUCCUCUGCUGAUGCCAUGGGCAUGCUUGAAUUUCUGAUAUGUGACUACUCUGCCGCUCAUUAGGCCCCGGACCCGUUGAUGCAUGCAAACGUGCUCUACCCGGACACGGAGUUCGUCACCGAGAUAGCGUAAGUGGUGAGAUUUGGUUUCGAGUCAUUUGCUGUGGUUUGAAGGAUUCAUUGUUGUUGGCAUGAAUUUUGUUUUAGCCGCACUAGGCCAAUCCGAGAUGACAAUGUUGCUCUUUCUUUGUACCUACUAAUUGAGUAUGAUUUGUACCUACAGGAAGGCUCUGAAGGACGUAUUUCUUCCUUAUUUUGAUAAAUGUAAGGUUUAUGUUCAGUGCAUUUAAUAAUUACUCUCUCCUUCAGUAUUUUUGAUAUGGGUAAAAUAGAUAUUACCGCCUCUUUCUAUAUUGCUUGCUCAAUCUAUACUGCAUUUAUUAAUUUGUACUAACAUGAAGCUGCACACUUGUGUAAGUACUGCUUGAUGUUGGUGAUGAUUAGUUCAUUCUCAUCUUUUCAAUAAAACAUAUAUCCAGUUGCAAUUUUGGAUAUUUACACAGCUGUAUUUGUUGCUUUUCUAGAUUCUGUUAGCCCAGAAAUUUGGUUUCUGAAGCAUUCAAACAUCAAUAAUCAAGAGCGACCACAAAGGUGAGGGGUAUGAAAUGGAUGGGUGACUAUCUCCACACUUGAUCUUUCUAUUUGACAUCGCAUAACAUAUGAUUGACUUGUGUUUUUCAAAUUUCUUUACUGAGUUCAUUACAUGGGGCUUCUAUGUCUUUCCUGCUUUAUUGUCGGUAUAUGGAAUUGUUACUGUAGCCCUCUAAUAUCCUUCAUUUUUUGCAACUUGAUGCAUUGAAAAUAAUAGUUAACUGCCAAAUUUUGUUCCGGUGCCCACAUAUACUUCCGCAUACCCCCACCACUUCUGCAUAGCACCACCAUAUACCACAUACACAACCACCGCUUACCAACUCCAACUCCAACAAUUUUGGUCCAAUUUUGCUUUGAGAAUUUGAGUUGCGGUACAGUGUCCUACUUGUGUUUUGGCUAUUUAGGUAUGGUUCGACAUCAACAUCACCGCCUCUCAUCUUUGCCACGGACGCGUCAUCAACAAUGACCACCUCGACUACAUCUUGGUAUUCAUGCCACCAUUUUGACACCAUACCGUCUGCAAGAAACGGUAACCUCAUCUUGGUAUUGGACAUAUCAUUCUUGCCAUUACAUUGAUAGCCAUCAUAGCCUUACUCCUUUGCAUUGCUUACCCAUCGAGACUAGCCAUUGAGUAUUGCCGGCAAUGAGACUUGUGCACAUUAGUGAUCAUACUUCCCAUAGCAUACAUACAUCAUUGUUGCAUAUAUUGGUAUCAUCUCUUGUGUAACAAAGUUGUCAUCGCAUACACAAUUGCUAUCUUGGUUCGUCAAGCAUUGCAUGAGAAAAGAGCUCAAACAUCAAAGAGCCAAACAAGCUUUUAAGCAAAAGGAAAAGAUAACAAAAGAGCUUUUAAGUAAGAACCAUAGCAUCAUACAACAUUAAGAUUGUCAUAUUAGAUCAUCUUGGAUCAUAUCAUCGAAACACCUUGCAUAGAACAUACUUGGGAUAGAAGUCGUUGCAUUUUUGCUUAGUAGGUUGUGCACAAGUCUUGUAUCCGCCUAUUGUGCAAUCGUGCUAGCGUCUCUCUAGUGUUGUGCAACAAGAGCAUUUUUGUGGAUUCCACAUUUUGGCUCAUCCUUGGUUGCACGACCCCACUUAUCUUUUUGCGUGUGUGUUUCCGUGUACCUUACAUUGCUUGGUCUACUUGUUGCAUUGCAAUCUUGCGAAUCUUUUCCAACAUUAUUGAAGCUCACUUACAAUUGCAUCAAAUUCUGUACCACCAUCCUAACCAAGCUCCACCAUAAGCUUUUACUUGUGUAGGUGUGAGAAACCGACAAGAAUUGGUACCAAUUGUGCUAUUUCCUUGUCCACAUUGGAGUGAUCAUUGAUCCACUUUUAACUUCGGUCAAGGUACAUUUGGUAUUCGUUCUUCUCUUUCUACCACUCACAUUUUUAUCUUGGAAUGAUGGAUAGGCCAAGUACUUCUACCAACCCACUCUUCAUCGAGCACAACGAUGAUAUGAACUCCUACGUCACCAAGAGCCACCUCUUUGGUGCACAACGUGCUUUGCAUCAAGAGCAACAAGCAAUGAGUGAAUGCAUCGACAACCUCGCCGCCGACUUGCGACUCUUCGAGAAAUGUACAAGGGACUACUUCGACCACAAGCUCGACGAUCACAAGCAAGAUAACGACGCAAGAAUGGACGAGAUUCUCGCUUUGUUGCUCAACCACUCUUCUUCCACUUCAUCUUCAUCAAGAAGGACUCGCUCAAGUCGACACUCCGACUUCACCCUCUUCGGCUCAAGUACACCGACAUCGAACACUCUUCGACGUGCCGCGCACAAUGAUCAUCAAGCAAGCCUCAAUCCUCUAUGCGACACCAACUCUCAAGAGCACCGGCAACGUCAAACCCAAGAGGCUUUUGCGCUAGCACGAGAAUGGCAACGACAACGCCAACAUGAAGCGGAAGAGCAAGCACGUCUACACCAAGAAGCACAAGAUGUCGAGGCACAACGUCAAGAGCAACAAUGGCGAGAUGCUCAAGCACUUGCGGCCCAACGUGCCCUUCAAGAUUCAAGUCACGUCGUCGCCACAUGUAAUCGCCAUCAGCGUGAACAAGAGGAAGCACUUUGCGAAGAGGUCCAAGAGAGGAUUUACCAAUCACGUGUGCAUCGUCAAGUUCCUCAAGUUCCUCCUCGAGCUUGACAAGCUCCCCCACAAGCUCGCCAAGAACAUCAAGUUCACCAAGAGCAUGAAGACAAUGGGAAUCCUGCACGACAAGAGCAACAUGAGGUCGACAACCCUCCUCACCAAGAGCAACACGAGCUUGACAGUCAUCAACAACAUGGACGUCAUCAUCCCCGACCCCAACACAAUGAAGAGCAACGCUACGGCAAGCUCAAGUUCACCAUGCCCAAGUUCAAUGGAGGCAACGAUCCCGAAGAGUACCUUUCAUGGGCAUUGAAGGUCGACAAAAUCUUGCAUUUGCACAACUAUGAAGAAGAGAACAAGAUCGUGAUGGCAUCCCUUGAGUUCCAAGACUAUGUCCUCAUUUGGUGGAAACAAGUUAUUGAGCGCCGAGAGGCAAGAGGUGAACCACCCAUCACUACUUGGGUGCAAAUGAAGGAUGUCAUGAGAGCAUGCUUUGUGCCUACCUACUAUAACCGCGACCUCUUGAAGAAACUCCAACUACUUAAGCAAGGAACCAAGAGCGUUGAAUAGUACUACAAGGAGAUGAAGAUUUAUAUGAUACGAGCCAAUGUCACGGAAGAUGAUGAGCAAACUAUGGCACAUUUCUUGAAUGGAAUCAACCAUCCUAUCAAGAAGAUCGCCGACUUCCAACCAUACUCGAACCUCGUCGAGCUAGUGCAUCAAACUACAAAAGCGAAUGUCAAGUGCAAGACGAUUUCAAGUAUGCAAAGUUCUCAUCCAAGUCUUACGGCUUCUCCAACACCCAAGCUUCAACGACUCCAGCUCCGUCUACCAAGCCUUCUCUAGGGAACGUCGACAAGUCGAGUUCCAAGAAAUCUUCGUAAACUCCAAGUCAUCCUCCUACUACAAGCAACUUCAAGCCGAGAGCUUCAUCAUCAUCCACUCCAACCGAUGAGACCGUCAAGACGAGUUCCUUCAAAUGCUUCACAUGCGGAGGCCGAGGCCACAAGUCGUAUGAGUGCACCAACAAGCGAACCAUGAUACUCAACGACGACGACACCUACGACUCGAGGAGUGAAGGAGAAAUGGACGCUCUUGAGCAAGUCGCCAUGCAUCGGCAAGUGAAUGAUGAAGAGGACCAAGUGUUUUGCAAUGAAGAUUCAAGUCCCGCUCUUGUUGUCUCCAAGGUCUUGACUCUCCAACAUCACGAAGAAGAAGACCAACGAUGCCACAUCUUUCAUACCAACUCCAGCAUCAAUGGACACUCCAUCAAGGUCAUCAUCGAUGGAGGGAGUUGUCAUAAUCUCGCAAGUGAAGAACUUUGCUCCAAGCUCCAAUUGCCCAAGACGAAGCACCCACAUCCCUACCAAGUGCAAUGGCUUAGCGACUCCGGCACUAUCCAAGUCGAGCAUCGAGUACAAGUCUCCUUCAAAAUUGGCGCCUAUGAAGACACUUUGGAGUGCGACGUCGUUCCAAUGACCGUUUUCCACCUUCUCCUUGGACGCCCAUGGCAAUUUGAUAGAGGUGUCAUUCACAAUGGCUGAACGAACCACUACAUCUUCAAGAUGAAGGGAAAGGAGUACAUACUUCGUCCCAUGUCUCCAAGCCAAGUGACUGCCGACAAGCAAGCCACCCAUCAUGGAGAGAAUAGUGAGAGAGCGAUCCACCAAAAAGUGAGUGAGCGCCACAAGCCCAAAUCGAGCGCCUCCACGAUGAGUGAAAAGAAGAACUUAGUCCUUUUUGCCACCAAAAGUGAGAUAAGAGGAGUGUGUGAGAACCCAUCUAGUGUCCUAACUACGUCCUUUUGUGCAAGGACAAUGAACCACAAGCUAACACCCCUCACACUCUUGUUCUAGUGUUGUCUUCUCUUUUGCAGGAAUUUCAUGAUGUUUUCCCCAAUGAGCUACCUCUGGGACUACCUCCACUACGAGGCAUCGAGCACCGGAUCGACCUCAUCCCCGGAGCACCGCUUCCGAACAAAGCUCCCUACCGUGUCAACCCUGAAGAAACCAAAGAAAUACAAAGGCAAGUAAAGCAUCUCAUAGACCAUGGACAUGUGCGUGAAAGUUUGAGCCCUUGUGCCGUCCCGGUCAUUCUUGUGCCAAAACGAGACGAUAGCUUUCGCAUGUGCUCCGAUUAUAGACCUAUCAAUGCUAUCACCGUUCGUUAUAUGUAUCCCAUUCCACGCCUUGACGAUAUGCUUGAUGAACUUAGUGGUGCCACUAUCUUUUCAAAAAUUGAUCUUAAGAGUGGUUACUAUCAAUCCGCAUACAAGAGGGUGAUGAAUGGAAAACCGCUUUCAGAACCAAGUUUGGCUUGUAUGAGUGGUUAGUCAUGCCUAUGGGUCUAUCGGAAGCACCGGGUACUUUUAUGCGUCUUAUGAAUCAUGUCUUUCGCCCUUACAUUGGUGUGUUUGUUGUGGUCUACUUCAAUGAUAUCCUUGUUUUUGGCAAGUCUCUCAAAGAGCAUGUCACCCAUAUCCGAACCGUUUUACAAACUCUUCGAAAGGAGCACCUCUAUGCUAAUAUGGAGAAAUGCCUUUUUGGCGUUGACAAGCUCGUUUUCUUGGGGUUUGUUGUCUCUUCUAAGGGUGUUCAUGUAGAUGAGUACAAGAUCAAUGCUAUUAAGACUUGGCCACAACCAACCAACUUGCAACAAGUGCGUAGCUUUCUUGGCCUUGUGGGUUUCUAUCGUCGCUUUGUGAAAGAUUUUAGCGCCAUUGCUUCGCCUUUGCAUGCUUUGAGCAAUAAGAAUGCGCCUUUUGUUUGGGGACCAUCCCAAGAUACCGCUUUCAAUGAGCUUAAGAAUUUGCUUACUCAUGCUCCCGUGCUUGCUUUACCCAACUUUGACAAACACUUUGAGAUUCAUUGCGAUGCUAGUGGUAAUGGCAUAGGAGGUGUGUUAACGCAAGAGAAGCGCCCCAUAGCUUACUUUAGUGAGAAACUUUCUGGAGCGCAACCCAAUUAACCCAUCUAUGACAAAGAGCUAUAUGCCUUAGUCCGCGUUUUGCAUGAAUGGGAACACUAUCUUCGCCCUCAUGAAUUUAUCAUUCAUACCGAUCAUUAAACGCUCAAGUACCUUAAGGGCCAAACCAAGUUGAACAAGCGUCAUGCUAAAUGGAGUGAAUUUAUUGAGUCUUUUCCUUAUGUCAUCAAGUACUUUAAGGGUAAGGAAAAAAUUGUGGCAGAUGCCCUUUCCCGCAUAUGCAUGCUUGUUACUCAACUUGAAUUGGAUGUUAUUGGCUUUGAGCAUAUAAAAGACUUGUAUGAGCAUGAUCCUACUUUUGGUACUCCUUAUGCCAAGUGUUUGACGCACACCUCUUGGGAACGCUAUUACAUCAAAGAUGGAUAUCUUAUGAGAGCUAACAAACUUUGCAUCCUCGAGUCUUCUCUUCGUUUGUUGCUUUUGCGGGAAUCUCAUGGAGGAGGCUUAAUGGGACAUUUUGGACGUGACAAGACGUUCGCUGCGCUGUCAAAGAACUACUAUUGGCCCAAGAUGUUUCGUGACGUCAACCGCUUCACCAACUGAUGCUCUACAUGUCGCAAAGCUAAGUCUAAAGCUCAAUCCCAUGGCCUUUAUAUGCCUCUACCAAUUCCAUAUCAACCAUGGGAAGACAUUAGCAUGGACUUUGUACUUGGUGUGCCUAGGACUAGAAAUGGGAAGGAUUCGGUAUUUGUCGUUGUGGACCGUUUCUCUAAAAUGGCAGACUUCAUUCCUUGCAACAAGAUAAACGAUGCUUCACAUGCACUACAAAAAAAAUACACUUCCGUGAUGGUACGUGUUUGUCACAGUAGGUCGCGUUUUUUGUCAUGCAUGUACAUCCAUGACGAUUUUAUGACAGAAUCAAGAUAGUCAUACCUGUGCUGGCGUAGAAGUGUUCCAUGACAUUACCAAAAUUAUCAUCACGGAAGUGUCCACUUCCAUGAUGAUAAAUCGCGCAUCACAGAAGUGCUUUCGUCAAGGGUGACCGACAUGUGGCAUCCACCGUAAUGGAACACCGUUAAGCUAUCGGGUCGGGUUUUGGAUCCGAUAACCCGUUAACAGCCCCGACCAAUGGGGAUUUUCCACGUGUAAAAUCAUCAUUAGCUGGAGGAAACACGUGUCGGCUCACCGUUGGGACAGAUGUCAUCCGCUCAUUGGACCGAAGGCGCCUAUGAUACGGCGACACAUGGCACGGCCCAACAGAGGCCCAUUCCUGUGAAAAGGCCGGCCCGUUUGACUUGGUCAAAAGGUGGCGGGCCGGCCCAUGGAAAGCCUGUUAACGGCCUGUUCGCAUAUAGCCCAUUUACAACCCGCUAACCCAGGGCCCGUUACGCCCUAUCCAAAUUAGGCCCGGUAGCGUCAUCUGGGCCGUCCAAUAUGAUUCAUCCCGUUUUAACUUCCGGCCCAUGUGUGACCCAUGACUUCUUUCGGCCCAUAUGAGGACCUUUGUAACUCUUGGCCCAUUAACGGCCCGUGGUGAAACUGGCCUGUAAUGAAUAGUGUAUCACUUUAUACCCAUUAACGGCCCGUUAUUCCAUUGGGCCCUUUCCAGCCCAAGUUAUCUUUUAGCCUUCUCAGGGCCCAUUGAUUCUUGGGCUCAUUUGUAGCAUUCGGUUACAUACGGCCCGUUACUGUCAUUUUCUGCUUGUGGGCUAAAUUCAGCCCGUCGUUACAGUCGGCCCAUUUGCGGACCGUUAAUACGUUGGGCCAUUUUCAUGUAAAAAAACCCGUUGGGCUGUUUUCAUAGAGUUAUCAAAUACAGCCUAUUAACGGCCCAUUAUGGUCCACGAAUAGUACGGCCCAUGAUUGGCGAAAUGAUGAUACGCCCCGUAGAAGGCCCAUGGAUCCUACGACCCGUAUGAGGCCCAUGGAUAGUACGACCCAUAGAAGGCCCAUGGAUCGUACGGCCCGUAGAAGGCCCAUGGACCCUACGGCCCGUAGAAAGCCCAUGGACCCUAAGGCCCGUAUAGAAGGCCGAUGGAUCCUACGGCCGAACGAAGGCCCAUGGAUCAUACGGCCUGCAGGAGGCCCAUGGUUACAACAGUCCGUGUGUUGCCAUGAUUAUUUUGGCCUAGUUACCAAAAAUAGGCUAUUGUGGCCACUAGAAAAAAACAGAAAAAGAGCUGCAAUGACUACAAGCAAACAACUCAACAAGACAAUAAGGAAAUAAAUAAGCAAGCAAUUAACGCUAGCCUAUUACCGCUAUUACACAUAUUACAUCCACUGGGCAUCAAAGUUCGCCACCAGUGCAAAUAUAGGGAACAAAGCAGCACAUUACAUACAAUUGCCAUCAAAAUUGGCCACCAGUGCAAAUAAACGCGACAUCAAAACAAGAGCAUAACUGAAACAACAUCAGAAGAGCUCAAGAAACGUUAUCCUGGGUAUCCACACCAUGCUGGCUAUAAGCUUAGCAAGCUGAUUAGCUUUGUCCUGUUUGGCGCUAAAAUCCUCCAACGCUUGCUGUUGCACCAGAAAGUAUGCAUCUGAAUGCUCCAGGGACUUCCGCAGUCCUUCCGCUUCUUGUCGCAGCUAUAACGCCCUCGAUGCGGCUAUAUCUCCCACGUGUCGAAGCACGACUUAGAGGCAUAACCGCAUUGAAAGCAAUGUCGCAAGUGAGGUAAUCUUCACACAACCCAUGUAAUACAUAAAGGAAAGAGAUACAUAGUUGGCUUACACUCGCCACUUCACACAAUACAUGAAUAUAACAUUACUUUCAUCCAAAUACACUCAAGGUCUGACUAUGGAACCAAAAUAAAAGAAGACUACCCCAAAAGCUACACAGAUCCCCGAUCGUCCCAACUGGGCUCCACUACUGAUCAACUGGAAACGGAACAACAUAACGAACACGAUCUUCAUGGAGCUCCUCCUUGAGCUCGGUUGCAUCACCUGCACGAUAUCAUCGGCACCUGCAAACUGGUUUUGGAAGUAUCUGUGAGUCACGGGGACUCAGCAAUCUCACACCCUGGCGAUCAAGACUAUUUAAGCUUAUAGGUAGGGAAAAAGGUAUGUGAGGUGGAGCUGCAGCAAGCACUAGCAUAUGUGGUAGCUAACAUACGCAAAUGAGAGCGAGAAGAGAAGGCAAAGCACGUUCGAGAAACUAUGAUCAAGAAGUGAUCCUAGAACAACCUACGUCAAGCAUAACUCCAACACCGUGUUCACUUCCCGGACCCCGCCGAGAAGAGACCAUCACGGUUACACACGCGGUUGAUGCGUUUUAAUUAAGAUAAACUUUAGGUUUUCCACAACCGGACAUUAACAAUUUCCCUUCUGCCCAUAACCGCGGGCACGGCUUUCGAAAGUUCAAAUCCCUGCAGGGGUUUCCCAACUUAGCCCAUCACAAGCUCUCACGGUCAACGAAGGAUAUUCCUUCCCCAAGACAACCUGAUCAGGCUCAGAAUCCUGGUUACAAGACAUUUCGACAAUGGUAAAACAAGACCAGCAAAGCCACCCAGAUGUGCCGACAAAUCCCGAUAGGAGCUGCACAUAUCUCGUUCUCAGGGCACACCGGAUGAGCCAGACGUCGGGUAGGCCAGCCCAGAGUUGCCCCUGGUAGCCCCGGACAUCGCUCAGUUGGACCAACACUUAGAGAAGCACUGGCCCCNNNNNNNNNNNNNNNNNNNNNNNNNNNNNNNNNNNNNNNNNNNNNNNNNNNNNNNNNNNNNNNNNNNNNNNNNNNNNNNNNNNNNNNNNNNNNNNNNNNNNNNNNNNNNNNNNNNNNNNNNNNNNNNNNNNNNNNNNNNNNNNNNNNNNNNNNNNNNNNNNNNNNNNNNNNNNNNNNNNNNNNNNNNNNNNNNNNNNNNNNNNNNNNNNNNNNNNNNNNNNNNNNNNNNNNNNNNNNNNNNNNNNNNNNNNNNNNNNNNNNNNNNNNNNNNNNNNNNNNNNNNNNNNNNNNNNNNNNNNNNNNNNNNNNNNNNNNNNNNNNNNNNNNNNNNNNNNNNNNNNNNNNNNNNNNNNNNNNNNNNNNNNNNNNNNNNNNNNNNNNNNNNNNNNNNNNNNNNNNNNNNNNNNNNNNNNNNNNNNNNNNNNNNNNNNNNNNNNNNNNNNNNNNNNGGAAAGAAAAGGCUAGGUGGCAAAUGGUAAAACCAAUGUUGGGCCUUGCUGGAGGAGUUUUAUUCAAGGCGAACUAUCAAGGGGUUCCCAUUAUGACCCAACUGUGUAAGGAACGCAAAAUCAAGGAACAUAACACCGGUAUGACGGAAAUUAGGGCGGCAAGAGUGGAACAAAACACCAGGCAUAAGGCCGAGCCUUCCACCCUUUACCAAGUAUAUAGGUGCAUUAAUUAAAUAAGAGAUAUCGUGGUAUCCCAACAAAUAUCCAUGUUCCAACAAGGAACAACAUAUCCAUGUUCCAAUAAGGAACAAACUCCAAUCUUCACCUGCAACUAACAACACUAUAAGGGGGGGCUGAGCAAAGCGGUAACAUAGCCAAACAACGGUUUGCUAGGACAAGGUGGGUUAGAGGCUUGGCUUAACAAUAUGGGAGGCAUGAUAUAGC